ACCAGUCCGUCCGGAGACAGGUAGAACCGUUAGCAGGUAGAACCUUUAGCAGGUAGAACCGUUAACAGGUAGAACCGCUAGCAGGUAGAACUAUUAACAGGUAGAACCGCUAGCAGGUAGAACCGUUAACAGGUAGAACCACUAGCAGGUAGAACCGUUAACAGGUAGAACCGCUAGCAGGUAGAACUAUUAACAGGUAGAACCGCUAGCAGGUAGAACCGUUAACAGGUAGAACCGCUAGCAGGUAGAACCGUUAACAGGUAGAACCGCUAGCAGGUAGAAC